CACUCUCGCUAAUUUUCCCUCAGUUUCCCGGAAAAAUCAAACAUAAAUGGCGGAAUGGACCCUUCUCCCAAAAGACCUGCUAGAGCAAAUCUCCAAAUGUCUCGACACCUCCAUUGAUCUCCUUCGAUUCCGCUCCGUUUGCACUUCAUGGCGAUGCUCUGUCUCCCCAAAGCCGCGCCGCUUAUCGGGCACUUUCCGGAUUCUUCCAAACGACGGAAUCUCCCGCACCUCAUUCGGUUUCUACCUCUCCAGACGUACCGUAUUCCUUAUCAGGCUACCCGAUUCCCAUAACCAGGCGGCCCCAAAGGGCUGGCUCGUCAAAAUCGAGGAAGAUAUCCCUGAUAGAAAGCGAUUGUUGAAUCCUCUAUCUAGGUAUAAGUUGAAUUCUUUACCCAGUAACUUUCCUCGCGUGUUGAAUUUACUGAACUUGCGGAUCUGCCAAUUGGGUCAAGAAUAUGUUCUGCAUCACGUUAACUAUAAGCCCAAUUCUUCGUCUUUCAGUGACGCUGGCAAUCUAUACAUGGAGAAAGUGGUAAUGAUAUGGUUGAAUUGUGAAAGUGAUUUUAUGUUGCUUACCAUUCAUGUUUCGGGAAAACUGGCUUUGUUUAGAAGUGGUGAUAGGAGAUGGACUAUAAUAAAAGAUAUGCCAUCUCCUUACGAUGAUGUAAUUGUUUAUAAAGGUAAUUUUUAUGCGGUUGACAACACAGGGAGGACUGUGGUUGUGGGGUUGAAUACAGAGUUGAGUUUGACUGCAAAUCCUGUUUUUGGUGGUGACAAGAAGUAUUUGGUUGAGUCCGAUGGUGAAUUAUUAUUGGUUGACAUGUAUUUGAGCAUUGAUACUGAAGAAGAGAGUCUGAGCUUUGGUGAGGAAUAUUUGGAGCACCUUGCCCAGUAUAUGAGCGAGAGGACGGUUAGGUUCAGGGUUUAUAAGUUGGAUGAAGAAGCAAAAAGCUGGAUUGAGGUGAGAAGCUUGGGUGAUCGUGUUUUGUUUUUGGGUGAUGAUUCUACCUUUUCUGCACCUGCUUCGGAUCUUUCUGGGUGCAAAGGGAAUUGUAUAUUUUUUGUGGAUAAUUUCUUCUAUUCCAGGGAUGAGUGUCCAACUGGCGGAGAUGAUGGAGUGUUGGCAGGUCGUGACAUAGGCGUGUUUGAUUUGGAGAAUGGUUGUAUUGGACCUUUGGGAAAUUACCCUGAACUUGCCAAGAUGUUCUGGCCACCUCCCCAUUGGGUUACUUUGGCAUCCUUGGAAGUGCAAACUCAAAAUAAACUUGAAGAGUUGUCCUUGAAAAUUGAUGAUUAAUUUUUCUGCUUUAUGGCCACACUGUUAAAUCUAGUCAUGGCCUGGUAUUUUGAUGUCUAGCACUGAAUCUCUGAAUGAUCUUGGACUGCUCUUGGGUGAUAGAAGAAAGUGUUGGAAAUAAUGCCAGC
rnacentral:misc_RNA from 1 species